CCCCGAAAUGAUAACUGGAUGGAUUGAUCGGUGUUCAGUCCCUUUCUGUCUUUUAAGUUUUCGGAAUAUCAAAGAGGAAAUGCUUCUUACACGGUUCUGAAAUACCUAGUUUUCUUAGCCGUUUACUUUUCCUCGACAUCC
rnacentral:snoRNA from 1 species